UCUUCAAACCUGAUUCUCUCAUAUCAAGAUAAACCCAAAUUCAUUAAAAAAACAUAUGAACAAGUUUUGUGACUAACAACAUGUAAACCCAGAUCCAUAAAAAAACAUAUGAUAAGUUUUGUGACUGACAGCAUCUUGUCUAAUCAAAUCACUGGCCCAUUUGGUAAAUAUCAAAGAAAAUAAUCUACAAAAAUCAAGUAAUCUAAAAUCACAAAUUAUCAUAAGCGUGCUGAACCACUAUCUCCUCUAGCAAAUUGCCUUCCCCAAUUGAUGAAGAACUUUACGCCCAAGAUCACAAUUGUUACUCUAGUUGUCUUCCAAAGUAUGUUUGUUCAAUUUUGCAUUCAUUGAACGCCUCCCUCUUUUCAUGAUAUCAACAAAAAAAAAAAUAAUCCCUGAAAGUUGUUUCAAAACGUUUACAUCAACAAAAAAAUAUUGGUGGCCGAAAAUCUCGAAGAUCUUGAAUCUCGCCGGAGUUUCUUCCCGUUCAACGUUGAAAUCUGGCCGGAGUUUCUUCCUUCCCCUAUUGUUCAGAGAUAUAGACAUAUCUAUAUAUCUCAAAAACAAUUCCAGAUUUGCACAGGGUGGUGGCUACGACUAGGAGAAGAAUGACGGCGGUGGUCAGGGAGAGAGUGGCUGUGGUGGUUUGAUGGAGAAGUUAGAGAAAAUUUAUGAUCACAUCCUUUAAUCUAGUAAGAUUUCUGAUCUGAUUCUGACACGAACUUAGAGAAGAUAGAUAGAUGAUUGUCAUCAAGUUUAGAAAAAGUAUUGAAUGGAGGAGGUGGUUGUUGUAUUUGAUUUGUUUAACAGAUCAGGUAAUGAGCAAUGUUUCAAUAUUUGAUUUCAUAAUCUAGAGAAGAUGUGUAUAUAAUUGUAGUUAAUGAUUGAUAUUUGCGUAAAAUUGUAAAAAUUUGUAAAUGAAUAUGGGUUUAUUUUGAAUUUGGGUUUAUUUUAUAAAAA